CCUACGGGUGGCAGCAGUGGGGAAUAUUGCACAAUGGGGGAAACCCUGAUGCAGCGACGCCGCGUGAAGGAAGAAGUAUUUCGGUAUGUAAACUUCUAUCAUCAGGGAAGAAAAUGAUGGUAACAGACUAAGAAGCCCCGGCUAACUACGUCCCAGCAGCCGCGGUAAUACGUAGGGGGCAAGCGUUAUCCGGAUUUACUGGGUGUAAAGGGAGCGUAGGCGGCGUGGCAAGUCAGUAGUGAAAGCCCGGGGCUCAACUCCGGAACUGCUUUUGAAACUGUAUGGCUAGAUUGCAGGAGAGGCAAGUGGAAUUCCUAGUGUAGCGGUGGAAUGCGUAGAUAUUAGGAGGAACACCAGUGGCGAAGGCGGCUUGCUGGACUGUAAAUGACGCUGAGGCUCGAAAGCGUGGGGAGCAAACAGGAUUAGAUACCCGAGUAGUC
rnacentral:rRNA from 1 species